UGGGGAAUUUUGGACAAUGGGCGAAAGCCUGAUCCAGCAAUGCCGCGUGUGUGAAGAAGGCCUUCGGGUUGUAAAGCACUUUUGUCCGGAAAGAAAUCCUUGGCUCUAAUACAGUCGGGGGAUGACGGUACCGGAAGAAUAAGCACCGGCUAACUACGUGCCAGCAGCCGCGGUAAUACGUAGGGUGCAAGCGUUAAUCGGAAUUACUGGGCGUAAAGCGUGCGCAGGCGGUUUGCUAAGACCGAUGUGAAAUCCCCGGGCUCAACCUGGGAACUGCAUUGGUGACUGGCAGGCUAGAGUAUGGCAGAGGGGGGUAGAAUUCCACGUGUAGCAGUGAAAUGCGUAGAGAUGUGGAGGAAUACCGAUGGCGAAGGCAGCCCCCUGGGCCAAAUACUGACGCUCAUGCACGAAAGCGUGGGGAGCAAACAGGAUUAGAUACCCUGGUAGUCCACGCCCUAAACGAUGUCAACUAGUUGUUGGGGAUUCAUUUCCUUAGUAACGUAGCUAACGCGUGAAGUUGACCGCCUGGGGAGUACGGUCGC
rnacentral:rRNA from 1 species